CUUACCUUCAAAGUCCAGCUUGGUCCCGUCUCCAAACAGUAUGUGUCCACAUGAGGCAACAGCACAGUAGUAGGUCCCAGCAUGAGAAAGAUUCAGGCUCUGCAUUGGCAAGUUGUACACACAGGUGUGUGUUUGGUUGUUGGGUUUCCUCUCACACUGAUCAUUCCUGCCUCCAUGGGUGUAAAUGAGUCCUGGAUGAGAUUCUUCAGAGGUUUUGAACCAGUAAACACUGUGUUCUCCAUCACAGGUCCCAGUGUGUACUGUACAGUUCAGAGUCACAGAGCCUCCUGGCUGGAUGGUCUCAGAUGCUG